CCUACGGGCGGCAGCAGUGGGGAAUUUUGCACAAUGGGCGCAAGCCUGAUGCAGCGACGCCGCGUGAGGGAUGAAGGCCUUCGGGUUGUAAACCUCUUUCGCUCAUGGUCAAGCCACUUCUUUGGUUGUGGUGAGGGUAGUGGGUAAAGAAGCGCCGGCUAACUACGUGCCAGCAGCCGCGGUAAUACGUAGGGCGCGAGCGUUGUCCGGAAUUAUUGGGCGUAAAGGGCUUGUAGGCGGCUUGUCGCGUCUGCCGUGAAAUCCUCUGGCUUAACUGGAGGCGUGCGGUGGGUACGGGCUGGCUUGAGUGCGGUAGGGGAGACUGGAAUUCCUGGUGUAGCGGUGGAAUGCGCAGAUAUCAGGAGGAACACCGGUGGCGAAGGCGGGUCUCUGGGCCGUUACUGACGCUGAGGAGCGAAAGCGUGGGGAGCGAACAGGAUUAGAUACCCCGGUAGUC
rnacentral:rRNA from 1 species